rnacentral:rRNA from 1 species
GACGGAGGAGGCAAGCGUUGUCCGGAAUUAUUGGGCGUAAAGAGCGCGUAGGCUGUUUUUCAAGUCAUAUGUGAAAACUUCAGGCUUAACUUGAGGAUUGCAUAUGAAACUGGAUAACUUGAGUGCAGUAGAGGAAAGUGGAAUUCCUGGUGUAGCGGUGAAAUGCGCAGAUAUCAGGAAGAACACCAGUGGCGAAGGCGACUUUCUGGGCUGCUACUGACGCUGAGGCGCGAAAGCUAGGGGAGCAAACAGG